rnacentral:tRNA from 1 species
AGUAGGGUAAGCUAACGAUAAGCUGUUGGGCUCAUAACCCAAAAAUAGAUCACCCUUCCUACUA